rnacentral:rRNA from 2 species
ACGGGAGGCAGCAGUGGGGGAUAUUGCACAAUGGGGGAAACCCUGAUGCAGCAACGCCGCGUGAGGGAAGAAGGUUUUCGGAUUGUAAACCUCUGUCCUAAGUGAAGAUAGUGACGGUAGCUUAGGAGGAAGCUCCGGCUAACUACGUGCCAGCAGCCGCGGUAAUACGUAGGGAGCGAGCGUUGUCCGGAUUUACUGGGUGUAAAGGGUGCGUAGGCGGCUUGAUAAGUCAGGCGUGAAAUGCAGAGGCUUAACCUCUGAACUGCGCUUGAAACUGUUGAGCUUGAGUGAAGUAGAGGCAAGCGGAAUUCCUGGUGUAGCGGUGAAAUGCGUAGAGAUCAGGAGGAACACCGGUGGCGAAGGCGGCUUGCUGGGCUUUAACUGACGCUGAGGCACGAAAGCAUGGGGAGCAAACAGGAUUAGAUACCCUGGUA